CCUACGGGGGGCAGCAGUGAGGAAUAUUGGUCAAUGGGCGAGAGCCUGAACCAGCCAAGUCGCGUGAGGGAGUACUGCCCUAUGGGUUGUAAACCUCUUUUGUCGGGGAGCAAAAGCCGGACGUGUCCGGCUGUGAGAGUACCCGAAGAAAAAGCAUCGGCUAACUCCGUGCCAGCAGCCGCGGUAAUACGGAGGAUGCGAGCGUUAUCCGGAUUUAUUGGGGUAAAAGGGUGCGCAGGCGGAUUUUUAAGUCAGCGGUCAAAUCGUGGGCCUCAACCCCAUCCAGCCGUUGAAACUGGGGAUCUAGAGUGUGCGAGAGGUAUGCGGAAUGCGUGGUGUAGCGGUGAAAUGCAUAGAUAUCACGCAGAACCCCGAUUGCGAAGGCAGCAUACCGGUGCACAACUGACGCUCAGGCACGAAAGCGUGGGUAUCGAACAGGAUUAGAUACCCUGGUAGUC
rnacentral:rRNA from 1 species